rnacentral:rRNA from 1 species
GACGAACGCUGGCGGCGUGCUUAAUACAUGCAAGUCAACUGAACUUGAGAUAGCAAUAUUUUAAGGGAGGUGGCGCACGGGUGAGUAACACGUAGGUAAUCUGCCUUUAGGUCUGACACAACCCCGAGAAAUCGGGGCUAAUAUCAGAUGAUGCAGCGGCUCGACAUCGAGACAGUUGUUAAACCUUCGGGGCCUAGAGAUGAGCCUGCGUCUGAUUAGGUAGUUGGCGGAGUAAAGCCCACCAAGCCUGCGAUCAGUAGCUGGUCUGAGAGGAUGAUCAGCCACACUGGAACUGAGACACGGUCCAGACUCCUACGGGAGGCAGCAGUAAGGAAUAUUGCUCAAUGGCCGAAAGGCUGAAGCAGCAACGCCGCGUGGAGGACGAAAUACUUUUGUAUGUAAACUCCUGUAAGAAGGGAAAAAUAUUCCGAUUUAUCGGGAUUGAUUGUACCUUCAGAGUAAGCCCCGGCUAACUACGUGCC